rnacentral:lncRNA from 1 species
CAUCCAAACCAACGGUGCACUUGGUUGUUCAAGUGAGUAAUCAUGUGAGGAGAAUCAAAGGAUGUACUUUAAAGUUCUUAAGCGGCAGUGAGGCUCAUUGUGUUGUGUCCUCAGCUGCUACUUCUUUUUCACUAAACCUUAAGUCAAAAAGGAGAAGAAGACACAUUCUCAGCUAGGAUUUCCUAUGAAGAAGCCAAACCUCUGUAACAAAAAACAAAGGACC